CCAGUCUUAAACGGAUGUAUUAAAUGCAUUAAAGUAGCUAAGUUUUGGCCUAUUAAUUGUAGGCCUUGUGAAUGGAUUGACGAGCUUCCUCCUGUCUCUGGUUUAUUGGUGUGAAAUUAAGUUAAAGGUGAAAAUGCCUUUAUAAAAAAGAAAGACGAUAAGACCCUGUGAAGUUUGAGUUUUUGCUGGGGCAGCACGGGGGCAAGUCUAGACUAGGUGUACAAUGACCUGGUUAAGAGAAUGAGUUACUCCAGGGAUAACAGCGUAAACCCGGAGAGUUCGUAUUGGUGGGUAAGUUUGCGACCUCGAUGUUGGUUCAGGGUCACCUUAGGCUAGAGAAGGCUUAAAAGGUUGGUUUG
rnacentral:rRNA from 1 species